UAUAAUUAAUUUUUACGGUGAAACUGCGGACGGCUCAUUAAAUCAGUUAUAACCUACUUGAUCGUGUGACUUUAUUCGGAUAACCCUAGUAAUUCUAGAGCUAAUACGUGCUAAAAGCCUUAACUUCCAGCAAUGGGGGAAGAGGUGUAUUUAUUAGAAACUAAAACCAAUCAGCUUCGGCUGUUUGAGGUGAUUCAUAAUAACUCGGCAAAUUACGGGAAAAUUCCUGUGAUGAUUCAAACGGAUUUCUGACCUAUCAACUUUAGAUGGCAAAGUAGGGGUUUGCCAUGGUGACAACGGGUGACGGGGAAUUAGGGUUCGAUUCCGGAGAGGGAGCCUGAGAAACGGCUACCACUUCCAAGGAAGGCAGCAGGCGCGCAAAUUACCCAAUGCUAAUUCGGCGAGGUAGUGACAAGAAAUACCAAUGUAGGACCCAACGGGUACUACGUUUGGAAUGAGAACAAUUUAAAAACCUUAACGAGGAACAAUU
rnacentral:rRNA from 1 species